GACGAACGCUGGCGGCGUGCUUAACACAUGCAAGUCGAACGGAAAGGCCCUGCUUUUGUGGGGUGCUCGAGUGGCGAACGGGUGAGUAACACGUGAGUAACCUGCCCUUGACUUUGGGAUAACUUCAGGAAACUGGGGCUAAUACCGGAUAGGAGCUCCUGCUGCAUGGUGGGGGUUGGAAAGUUUCGGCGGUUGGGGAUGGACUCGCGGCUUAUCAGCUUGUUGGUGGGGUAGUGGCUUACCAAGGCUUUGACGGGUAGCCGGCCUGAGAGGGUGACCGGCGACAUUGGGACUGAGAUACGGCCCAGACUCCUACGGGAGGCAGCAGUGGGGAAUAUUGCACAAUGGGCGGAAGCCUGAUGCAGCAACGCCGCGUGCGGGAUGACGGCCUUCGGGUUGUAAACCGCUUUCGCCUGUGACGAAGCGUGAGUGACGGUAAUGGGUGAAGAAGCACCGGCUAACUACGUG
rnacentral:rRNA from 1 species